rnacentral:tRNA from 1 species
UGCGGAAUAGUGUAAGGGUAACACAAGGGUCUCAUAAUCCCUAACUUCUGGUUCGACUCCAGAUUCCGCUACAA